UCACAUGAGAUAGUGAUCAAAUGUUGUUGUUAUUCGAUGUUUUUUAUACAAGUCUUUUUUCCCGUUCCUUUUUCCAUUUGUUUAUAUAAACAUUAAAAGUGUUAUUGAUGGCAUAUUUUUUUUUCGUGUUGGCGAAAAGUUCUCGCCACUAGCUCAUCCAUUCACUGUAUGCAGGCUAUUUGAUAGUUUACGAGAAUUCAAAGGACUUUUUGGAAACAAAAUAUCGAACAUUAUCUGCGACCGUAGAUGAACGAACAGAUCUACCUAGAAAUAUUAUACAGAAGGCAAUAUCCAACGUUGAAAAAACAUCGGAAGCUACAGCGAGAAGCUUAAACCAGUUAGUCUAUUUCGGACAAAAUUAAAAGUAGGUAACUCGCUACUAUCGUUAAGAAUACAUCAAAUAUGUUCUGGACUGAAUCCCACUGAACUUUAAGAUUGAAUGAACAAUUCAAAGUUAGAACUUGUGUUUCUCCAUUUUUAUAUAAAUUAGGUUAUAUAGUGUUAACAGGACAAUUUUACGUUUCUAAAAUGAAUAUUUUCUCAAAUGAAAAUUCUGUCGACACGAAAGGAAAUAGUCAUCGUCCUAUGUCAUUACAGAAAAUCUCACUGGCGCAAGAAGGUUUUCAGAUUGCGCCCUCCCCUACAUCAAAAUAAAGGACUUAUUCUGGUGUGUCCACAUCUCAUCCUUCGACGUAACGUACUGAUGAGUCAUUUAUGCCCUCUGUUUAACGUAAUUGGUCUUUGAACUCGAACACAUCCUGUAAAGUGAACCAGAGCAGGAAAGUAGAGAAGAUUCAUGAAUUAUUUCUUUUUGUAAGGUAUCUGUACUGAAACUGUAAAGGAUUCUCGGUGUCGGUGUAAUGAGGCCGUUAAAAGUAAAAAUACGAAAAUUGGGAAUUUAGGAGUGAUUAAUGUACUCACUUCGGUUUUCGAAAGGAGUGUGAGGUAGCAAACUAUUUUAUUUUGUUAUGAUUUUGUUUAGUUAACUUAUUCUUUCUAUCGUUUAGUUUAUCUGUCAAUUUUAGUUUACACUUAAACGCUAACUCACUUCCUAGCUAAUCGCAUUAACUUUUAGAUUCUACGAGUUAUCAGACUGACACCAGUUUCCCAUAUCGGUGACGUACAGAUGUUUAACAUUGGUAAAUAUUAUGUAAAUAAUGAUUACAUGAAUUAAUUUGUUGUUCUAACUAGUCACUUAAUUAUUGCAGCUUUAGCUUGUCUUUGAACUCGAAGACGUCCCGUAACCUGAGCUGGAAGAUAGACAAUGUGAAGAAGGAGGAAUAGGAACGAAUUUUCAUUGUAAGUAGGAAACAAUUUCAACUGUUUGAUAGUUUAAGGUAUCAAAGAAGGACCUCUUGGAAACAACUAACACAAUACCCAACUGUUGAUGAACGAACAGAACUCUCUAAAGAUGUUUUACACAAAGCAAUAUCCAACAUUGAAAAGCAGUUGCAGAAAAUGAAUGCGAACAGAAAUAUUAGAUAUUUUUCCACAACCCAGAAGACUCUGUUCUUGUGUCUCCACCUCUCAUCCUUUGUAUCCAGUUUAACUUCCGUGUCUUCUGCUCAACGUAGUUGGUCUUCGAACUCAAAGUUCUUGAAAGGUGAACCAGAAUACGAA